AUCGAGAUGGCGCAGCGGAAGCAUGCGGGGCUCAUAACCCCGAGGUCCCAGGAUCGAAACCUGGUCUCGAUA